CAGUCGAGCGGUAAGGCUCCUUCGGGAGUACACGAGCGGCGAACGGGUGAGUAACACGUGAGCAACCUGCCCUUCUCAUCGGAAUAAGCGUUGGAAACGACGUCUAAUGCCGAAUACGACCUCAGGAGGCAUCUUCAGAGGUGGAAAGCUCCGGCGGAGAAGGAUGGGCUCGCGGCCUAUCAGCUUGUUGGUGGGGUAACGGCCCACCAAGGCGACGACGGGUAGCCGGCCUGAGAGGGUGACCGGCCACACUGGGACUGAGACACGGCCCAGACUCCUACGGGAGGCAGCAGUGGGGAAUAUUGGACAAUGGGCGAAAGCCUGAUCCAGCAACGCCGCGUGAGGGAUGACGGCCUUCGGGUUGUAAACCUCUUUCAGCACCGACGAAGCGAAAGUGACGGUAGGUGCAGAAGAAGGACCGGCCAACUACGUGCCAGCAGCCGCGGUAAUACGUAGGGUCCGAGCGUUGUCCGGAAUUAUUGGGCGUAAAGGGCUCGUAGGCGGUUUGUCGCGUCGGGAGUGAAAACUCAGGGCUCAACCCUGAGCGUGCUUCCGAUACGGGCAGACUAGAGGUAUGCAGGGGAGAACGGAAUUCCUGGUGUAGCGGUGGAAUGCGCAGAUAUCAGGAGGAACACCGGUGGCGAAGGCGGUUCUCUGGGCAUUACCUGACGCUGAGGAGCG
rnacentral:rRNA from 1 species